UCCUCGUUUAAGCGAGGCAGUCUGUCCAGAGUGCUCCUUACUCUCGUAAGGGUGGCAACAGGACACAAGGGUUGCGCUCGUUGCGGGACUUAACCCAACAUCUCACGACACGAGCUGACGACAGCCAUGCAGCACCUGUCUCCGGUCCAGCCGAACUGAAGAGCUCCAUCUCUGGUGCUCGCGACCGGGAUGUCAAAGGCUGGUAAGGUUCUGCGCGUUGCUUCGAAUUGAACCACAUGCUCCACCGCUUGUGCGGGCCCCCGUCAAUUCCUUUGGGUUUUAAUCUUGCGACCGUACUCCCCAGGCGGGGUGCUUAAAGCGUUAGCUGCGCCACCGAUGAGCAAGCUCACCAACGGCUAGCACCCAUAGUUAACGGCGUGGACUAC
rnacentral:misc_RNA from 1 species